UCAGAGGGGGGUAGAAUUNCACGUGUAGCAGUGAAAUGCGUAGAGAUGUGGAGGAAUACCGAUGGCGAAGGCAGCCCCCUGGGAUAACACUGACGUUCAUGCUCGAAAGCGUGGGUAGCAAACAGGAUUAGAUACCCUGGUAGUNCACGCCCUAAACGAUGUCGAUUAGCUGUUGGGCAACUUGAUUGCUUAGUAGCGUAGCUAACGCGUGAAAUCGACCGCCUGGGGAGUACGGUCGCAAGAUUAAAACUCAAAGGAAUUGACGGGGACCCGCACAAGCGGUGGAUGAUGUGGAUUAAUUCGAUGCAACGCGAAGAACCUUACCUGGUCUUGACAUGUACGGAACCCUUUAGAGAUAGAGGGGUGCCUUCGGGAACCGUAACACAGGUGCUGCAUGGCUGUCGUCAGCUCGUGUCGUGAGAUGUUGGGUUAAGUCCCGCAACGAGCGCAACCCUUGUCAUUAGUUGCCAUCAUUUAGUUGGGCACUCUAAUGAGACUGCCGGUGACAAACCGGAGGAAGGUGGGGAUGACGUCAAGUCCUCAUGGCCCUUAUGACCAGGGCUUCACACGUCAUACAAUGGUCGGUACAGAGGGUAGCCAAGCCGCGAGGUGGAGCCAAUCCCAGAAAACCGAUCGUAGUCCGGAUUGCACUCUGCAACUCGAGUGCAUGAAGUCGGAAUCGCUAGUAAUCGCAGGUCAGCAUACUGCGGUGANUACGUUCCCGGGUCUUGUACACACCGCCCGUCGCACCACGGAAGUCAUUCACACCCGAAGCCGGNUAG
rnacentral:rRNA from 1 species